rnacentral:lncRNA from 1 species
UAUUAGAGCUCAAUAUGAUUAACCAGAAAAAUGGAACUUGGCAUUUUAUGUGGCAACUUUCCAUAAUAUAUAAUUGGAACAAAAUGGAAUGAACUGCUGGAUACUUAGAAAUGACCUUCUACUCCACUUCAUUUACUUUUUCAGAAUCGUCCAUUGAAUUUUUUUUUUUCCAAAUCCUAGCUAUGGAGACAUAACCCUCUCCAUAAACCUUGAGAGAAAGGUGUGAAGGUUGAAGAUUAUGAUAGUAGGUUAGAUGGUCUAGAUUGUUCAUAUUGUUAGUAUUAGUGCAUACUCUUGCAUUCCGUUGGUUUUAUAUUUCUAUGACUAUCGUUUAUUGCAUGUUGGUCAUCUUACUAUCUUGUUGUUUUUAUGCUGCUUCUACAUCGAUUCUCGGUGCUGGCUCUUCUUGUCUUUCUUUUCAUUAAUGUGGUACUUCUGCUUCCCUGAGCCGAGAGUGGUGCUUAUGCUUUUCUGAACCAAGAGCCUACUGGAAACAGUAUCUCUAUCUUCGUAAGGUAGUAAGGGUUGCAUAUAUAUUACCCUCCCUAGACUCCACUAUUUAAAAUUAUACUAAGUAAGUUGUUGUCGUCGUCAUCCUAGCCAUGUCUUACAGAAUGUCCAGAAAGUUAGAUGUGUGUGCUGCAAUAAUAUUGCUCCUGGGGAACAUCCUAUGCAAUUAGAAAGAUACAAAUAAGAUAAUGGAAACCAAAUCAUUUAGCAGAAUUUAUUAGCUGUUUGUUUUAUGCAUCAUUGCUUACCUAAGGCAUAGACUCCACAAAGCAAGCUGCUUGGUUGAGGGUAUAAGAUCCAAGUGAAGCAACACCAACAACAACAAUUACCCAGUAUACUCCCACCAGGUGGGGUCUGAGGAAGGUAAUAUGUAGACAGCCUUACCCCUACCCAAAAGGGCAGAGAGGCUGCUUCCAAG